UUAUCUACUGACCCAGAGUCAGAUGAGGCCCUUUAUCUACUGACCCAGAGUCAGAUGAGGUCCUUUAUCUACUGAUCCAGAGUCAGAUGAGGUCCUUUAUCUACUGACCCAGAGUCAGAUGAGGUCCUUUAUCUACUGACCCAGAGUCAGAUGAGGCCCUUUAUCUACUGACCCAGAGUCAGAUGAGGUCCUUUAUCUACUGACCCAGAGUCAGAUGAGGCCCUUUAUCUACUGACCCAGAGUCAGAUGAGGCCCUUUAUCUACUGACCCAGAGUCAGAUGAGGCCCUUUAUCUACUGACCCAGAGUCAGAUGAGGCCCUUUAUCUACUGACCCAGAGUCAGAUGAGGCCCUUUAUCUACUGACCCAGAGUCAGAUGAGGUCCUUUAUCUACUGACCCAGAGUCAGAUGAGGCCCUUUAUCUACUGACCCAGAGUCAGAUGAGGUCCUUUAUCUACUGACCCAGAGUCAGAUGAGGCCCUUUAUCUACUGACCCAGAGUCAGAUGAGGUCCUUUAUCUACUGACCCAGAGUCAGAUGAGGUCCUUUAUCUACUGAUCCAGAGUCAGAUGAGGUCCUUUAUCUACUGACCCAGAGUCAGAUGAGGCCCUUUAUCUACUGACCCAGAGUCAGAUGAGGCCCUUUAUCUACUGACCCAGAGUCAGAUGAGGUCCUUUAUCUACUGACCCAGAGUCAGAUGAGGCCCUUUAUCUACUGACCCAGAGUCAGAUGAGGUCCUUUAUCUACUGACCCAGAGUCAGAUGAGGCGCUUUAUCUACUGACCCAGAGUCAGAUGAGGUCCUUUAUCUACUGACCCAGAGUCAGAUGAGGCCCUUUAUCUACUGACCCAGAGUCAGAUGAGGUCCUUUAUCUACUGACCCAGAGUCAGAUGAGGUCCUUUAUCUACUGACCCAGAGUCAGAUGAGGCCCUUUAUCUACUGACCCAGAGUCAGAUGAGGUCCUUUAUCUACUGACCCAGAGUCAGAUGAGGUCCUUUAUCUACUGACCCAGAGUCAGAUGAGGUCCUUUAUCUACUGACCCAGAGUCAGAUGAGGCCCUUUAUCUACUGACCCAGAGUCAGAUGAGGUCCUUUAUCUACUGACCCAGAGUCAGAUGAGGCCCUUUAUCUACUGACCCAGAGUCAGAUGAGGCCCUUUAUCUACUGACCCAGAGUCAGAUGAGGCCCUUUAUCUACUGACCCAGAGUCAGAUGAGGCCCUUUAUCUACUGACCCAGAGUCAGAUGAGGCCC